rnacentral:rRNA from 1 species
UACGUAGGGGGCAAGCGUUGUCCGGAAUCAUUGGGCGUAAAGCGCGUGUAGGCGGCUUGGUAAGUCCGCUCUGAAAGCCCGGGGCUCAACCCCGGGAGGCGGGUGGAUACUGUCAAGCUCGAGUCCGGAAGAGGCGAGUGGAAUUCCUGGUGUAGCGGUGAAAUGCGCAGAUAUCAGGAGGAACACCUAUUGCGAAGGCAGCUCGCUGGGACGUAACUGACGCUGAGACGCGAAAGCGUGGGGAGCAAACAGG